UUAAUUGAAACCAAAAAGAGGUACAUCACUGUUAAUGAUGAAAUUGAAUUAAAAUUCCAAUUAAA
rnacentral:tRNA from 2 species